GAUGCAGCCCCAUCCUCAGCCCUCCCUGGCUAAGCACACAGAAAGGAAAACCCCCAUGGAUUGAAAUGCAGCCAAUUCAGCCCUUACUGAACUUUGGCACCGUGCCACGUCACACAUUCAUUUGGAAUUGCCACGAGUGGCAGCCCUGCAGCUCUGCCUGCUGCUUCUCUGCAGGCACAGGUGUCUCAUGAGUGAUGGAACAAAAAUGCUCGAGCAACCCAAAUUACUUCGGAAACCCACUACUGGGAUGAAUUACCGAGCCCCUGCCUUGCUCACAGGGAGGAAUUAGGGCUGAGCUCCAUGCACGAGUCCUGCAGAGCUGCACUGCCUCCCCGCUGCCCCCCGGCAAAAGGAGUUUCUGAGCCCAACAAAACUCUGCACCUCCGGGAGCGAUUGGAAAUCCAACCAUAAUGGCACUGCCUGAGCCAGACGACAUUUGGAAACCACUCUAUAGAAAGCAGACGCUACAAGGGAUGCGGCUUUUGGUAUAUUUGCUCUAGGAUAUCAUAACAGGCACGGUUCUAAGCAAACACGGGCAGGUGCAUGAGAGCCGGAGCAUUGGCUUUGUUCAUUAUGAUGAUAUGCUGUGACAUCCGGGGCUGGGAGAGGGGUUUGAGGCCAAAGGAGCUGCCCCAGUGCCCUGGGAACAUGCAGGCACCUGCGGGGUGAUCCCUGCAUAGCUGUGUCCUUUUGUGCCUGGGAGGAGGUCGGGGCUGGGAGAGCUCAGCGGUUCGUGAGGAGAGCGGAGCGAGAAACGAAAAGGGGAAAAAAGAGAAAUCGAGCAAAGUUCUUGCAUUAGUCAAAUAGAAAUCUAAUAGGAAAGAGCUGUACAUGGUCAAAGUCGAGUCCGGGCUCCGGGAAUGUCCAGGGCAGGUUCAGAUAUGGCUGCUGCUCCCCGGGAUGUGCGCAGUUCACACUCGUGUCUGCAGUGCAGGGAACUGGGAUGGGGUGAUGUUUGGGGACUGGCUCGUCACCACGGUGUCCCCGUGAUUGCCCCUGAUCCCAGCACUUGCAUGGGGACAAGUGGACGGAUCCAGAGAUGGGAUGGAGCCCCAAGGGAUGAUGCUGCCUGCUCGGACGCAGCCCAACGGAGCACUCACAGCAUCCCUAGGACCAGUUCUUCCUCCAGAGCUGCACCGUGGCAAUGGGAUGGGGACCAGGAGGGCGCUGGGGAUGGAGUCAGCUGGAGGGAGGACAUCGUGAUGCCAUCAGAGCCUGGGCCGAGCAGGUCCGGAGCCCCCCAGGAGAUGAUGCUGCCCACUUGGAUGCAGCCCAACGCGCGCUUUGGAUCUCUGGAGCAGCACCGUGGCAACGGGAUGGGGAUCAGGAGGAUGCUGGGGAUGGAGGCAGCUGGAAGGAGCAUCUCGGGGUGCCACCAGAGCCCGGUGAUGUCAGAGCCCGGGGGUGCCGACGGCGCUGGCACGGUGUGGGUCUGCAUCCUGCUCGUAGCGGUAGUGGUAGCCCUCCAUCUGAUCACGGCAAGCUUCCCGCAGGUUGUGCAACCAACGCUUGAUGCCGCGGCGGUUCAGGUAGAGCACCAUGAGGAAGACGAUGCCGAUGAGGGCCAGAACGAUGCCGAAGAAGACGUAAGAAGCUGUCUCCAGCUGUCCGGCCUCACCUCCCUCAUCGGCCGAGCAACCCAACCCUUCGGGCCGCAACCUCAGCACCGCCGUCCCGCGCAACGACGGCGGUUUGGAGCACUGCAGGCUCCUCGCAUCGGGCACGCGGGCGGCGGACGAGCGCAGCCAGCUCUUCCAGAUUCUGCAGGUGCAUGUUUUGGAUGCUGA
rnacentral:lncRNA from 1 species